UACAGAGACGGCGAGCGUUGUUCGGAUUCAUUGGGCGUAAAGGGUGCGCAGGCGGCCCGUUAAGUCGGAUGUGAAAUCUCAUAGCUUAACUGUGAGCGGUCAUUCGAAACUAGCGGGCUCGAGGACUGGAGAGGGGACUGGAAUGGUCGGUGUAGCGGUGAAAUGCGUAGAGAUCGGCCAGAACACCGGUGGCGAAGGCGGGUCUCUGGACAGUUCCUGACGCUCAGGCACGAAAGCCAGGGGAG
rnacentral:rRNA from 1 species